AUCUUAUACAGUCUUUGGAUAUAAGUGAAAAUAAGCCAAAUUCAAAUAUUAGAAUAUGACCUUGACCUUUGACCUUGACCUAAUUUUCAUUUUUGGGACCAAGGACCUCAAAUCAAAAGAUCCUAUGUCUCUAUCACUUAUGAUUUAUAAGAUAGAAAUUCAUAUCACUUAUAUCAGAUGCAUAAGGGGAAAUAACUCUCAUAUGGAGCGGUCAUAUCGCUUCGGUCAAAAUAGGACAAAUCAUGCGAAGGAUAUAACGAGCAAUUUUGUAAAAUAAAUUUGUCAUAAUCUUUUACGGUUGCGAAGGAGAUGCGCUAACAAGGAAAACAGUGUUUGGGGAGAUAACUCCUACAAAGAAAAGUAUUCGUUUACGCAGGGUAAUUUCAAAAGUGCAUAAACUGUUCGAUAUCAUAUACCAAAUAUCUAAGCGACAUAUUGCGAAACAAAUGUUUAUCGCAAGAACAAAAUUAGGCGGAAGAAAAAAAAAAAAAAAAAAUAAUCAGAAGAAAAACAAUAGGUCUUUCCACAGAAAAGUGGAAAGACCUAAUUAUUCGUUUAAUAU
rnacentral:lncRNA from 1 species